GCAAGUCGAACGAGAAAGCACUUCGGUGUGAGUAGAGUGGCGCACGGGUGAGUAACGCGUAGAUGAUGUGCCUUUUAGUGGGGGACAACAGUGGGAAACCGCUGCUAAUACCGCAUAAGCUUAGUGACAUUGAAAAAGCUAAGGAAAGGGGGCUUUUGGGCUCUCGCUGAAAGAUCGGUCUGCGUGACAUUAGCUUGUUGGUGGGGUAACGGCCUACCAAGGCGACGAUGUCUAACUGGUCUGAGAGGAUGAUC
rnacentral:rRNA from 1 species